UUGGCGAACAAUUUCAUGAGCCAUCCCUUGCAACAAAUCAUGCAUCCCUAUCUUGUUUUCUGAAAUUGUGAUGAGGCACUUAUCAGCUAGAACACUAAUUCCAAUAUCAGAACCAUCUAGUAAACUUUUUACGAAAUUAACUUGUUGGCCUUUAAAGAAACACGCAAUAUCAAGAAAUAUACACUUCUCUUCAUCAUCUAGCAAAUCAUAACUAAUUCUUAACACGUUAUGAAUUUUUUGGAGGGGAACCCUUUCAAGUUUGUUCAAUGCACUUUCCCACUCACUUUUACUCCUGUCAAAUAAAAGAGAACCCAAAACUUUAACUGCCAAUGGAUUGCCUUGAGCAGUACUCACAGCCCUCGUUGAUAGCUCUACAAGAUCCAUUUUGGGAUAGUUUUCCUUAAAAGCAUUUAAACUAAAGAGCUGGAGAGCUCCAUGAUCGUUCAAUCCCUCAACUUCAUAUAUUUCGUCAACUACAUUCUUAAGCAAUUGUCUAUCUCUAGAUGUUAUGAUAACUCUACUUCCAAGGCCAAACAUAUCCCGUGUUCCAAUUAGGAAUUCCACUUGAGCUAUAUCAUUCACAUCGUCAAGAACAACCAAAACCUUUUUACGUCGAAGCCUUUCCUUUAUAGAAGUGGAUCCUAUACUGGGAGUGCUAAUAUGAAGAUUUUCUUCCUCUAAGAUUUUAGAAAGAAGUUCUUCUCUUAAAUGGAUUAGUCCCCCACAUUUUUCUGAUUCUUCCCUGACAUUUGAAAGAAAGCAAGAACCUUCAUAUCUACUCGAGAUAGUAUUGAAAAUAGCACCAGCAAUAGUUGUUUUACCAAUACCACCCAUACCCCAAAUACCUACAAUACGGACAAUGGGCAAUCCGGUGCAUAACAAAGUUUUAACUUGUCUAACGCGUGAAUCCAUUCCAACUAGGCCUUUUGAAUCACUUGACGACCCACAACUCAAUUUCUUCAAAAUAUGUUCCACAAUUUCAUUCACUAGUUUGGACUCAGGCCUAAUCAUGUAGGAAUCCCAUCCAGAUAUAUUUGCUGCUUUGGUGAAGUCAGCUCUCCACCUGGGGAACUUGUCCAUUUUCUCCUUAAAAUUCCUCUCAAGCUCAAGGAAAGCAUUUCCAAAGUUUCCACUUAGUUCUUCUACAUUACAUGGAUUUACAUGGUAGAAAACAGGCAAAACAAUUUGCCCAUGAGUUUGCUUGCAUUCAAGUAUUUUCACCAAUUCAUCCACGCACCAUGGAGAAGUUGCAUAGUUUUCUGAGAAUAUGAUUACUGAAAUUCUUGAUUCUUCGAUCGUUUUCAAAAGUGCAGGUGUUAUUUCUUCUCCUCUUUCAAGUUCAUUGUCCAUGAAGGCCCUUAUUUUUUUACGACACAAAGCGUCGUAAAGAUGGCUAGUAAAAUUUUCACGUGUAUCCUUUCCGCUAAAACUAAGAAACACAUCAUACUUCCAUUGAGCCAUGGUGGACACCAUAUUUGACAGGUAAAAAAUAAAUCUAUGAAGGGCUAUUUUGAUCUCAGUGGGAGGAUGAUCGAUCCGUCAAAGCCUGCGAACGUUCGUUUCGAUCCACCGCCGACGUCCACGAGAGUGAAGAAUUAGUCCUGCUUUGUGAUUGAAGAAGAGAAAAUUAGUCCAACGCGAGCGUGUUCUUCCUUUAAUUAUUCUUUCAUUUAUUUUUGAAUCCCUACCAUCAGUCUAUAAUAUAUAAUGUAGUGAAUUAUUUUAGGUAAAUUAUUUUUUGGUCCCUGUAUACAUCUCCCACUUUGAAAAAUCGAUAAUAAGAAGCAUAGAUUUGAAAGCAUCUCUUGCUAUCCAUGUGUCUUGCUUAACCGUGUAUCUGCUAUGGGAAAUGGUCAGAUGGUUGAUGAGUCUUCCAUCUCCGAAUGGGAGGAUGGAAUCAGAUCGGGGCCAUGUGAUGGGUAUAGGGGGCGUUGAUAAUGUUUCCAUGUGCAUUGGACGUUUUGGGGGAUAACAUCUUUG
rnacentral:misc_RNA from 1 species